CCAGCUAGCACAACAGUCUGCUAACAGCUGGGAGAGGCUCCGUCACUACAGUAAAGUUACAUUAAUGAACAUAAAAGAGAGAUGCAGGAUGAACAAAGACAGACCGGAGAUGCACCGAUAUAGUCUGUGCCCAAGAGAGGGCUGGGUCUGCUGUUUGGAAGUGUUUUGGUUUUAAAAAGUCCAACGUCCAAAAGACUAUAUAUUGCAGUGUGUCGAGCCACUGUUGUUGACGAUGGUGGUACUGGUAACACAAGCAACUUUCUCCAUCACCUCAGCAGAAAACAUGAGUUGGAAUACCAAGAGUGUGAUUUCGGGUGUCAACCGGUAACGUUAGCGCGAGUGAAACAGUGAAGCCAAAGGGUCACACAUCGCUUGAAGAGGCAUUUGCUUGAAGCACUGCAUAUGACAAGAAAAGCAAGCGGUGGAGCAACAUUACGAACACAAUAAUGAUCCAGCUAUGCAAAGACAUGGUCGAGAAAGACUCAGAGCAAUGAUUAAAACACUGGAUUCAAGCUUCAUGGGGUCAACAUGGACACAGAACGAUGGCUGGAGGAGCACAAGGUUCAUGUUCAGUUCCCUCAACCUUUUUACAAACACGUGUACAAACAAUAUGCGUGUGCAUAUCUGUCAGUAAGAACUGUGGGUUUCUACUUACCAGGUAGCUUCUCCGGCAGGUUGAUGUUGCUGUACUCUUCAGAGAAGUGCACCCUUUCAUUAGCCGGGCACAGUAGACCCCUACUGGUGAGGACGGGUACUGCAGUGUUGGAGUACUCCUGGCUGGAGGAGGAAUGCAGCUUGAUGAAAACCAAGUAACUCACCACCACUGCCUCAGGCUUUAACUGGUGGUGGAAUUAGUGAGGAAGAUAGGAAGGAAACAGGGGGAGACGAAAGAGAGAGAGAGAUAUUUAUGCCAAAUAUGAUGAGCAAUACUUUUGUAAAGCAUAAGACUUGUUUUUGUAAAAUGAGCAUUAAAUCAUAUUUGUGACAGUAGAUCCAGUUUGGUACCUUCCACUUGUUGUUCUGUAUUGACGGGUAGAUGUGCUGCUCCAGUAGGUCUUGAGGCUCCAGUUCAUGAACUCCCAGUCUUCUCAGCAGCUCCCGAAUCUGUUGACUUUCCAGAGGAUCCACACAGCUCAGCAGAGAGGGCUGAACUACAUUUACAUCCUUGUACAAUGCAGACAGAGGGCCUAUGAAAAGACAAUGAAUGAGAGGAAAGCUAAAUACUAUCACUUCCCUGCCAGAGUGACAUUUUUAACUUUCUAAUGGCAAUUUUUGUUACAGUGCAGUUGUACUGAAUAGUAUUGGAUUGUAUAUAACCCAAUUGACAAUGGGUCAAUGGGUUUCAAUGUUAAGUUUCCAAGCCUUGUGAUACGAAAUAUUGUUUCAGUUAUUCCAGUCCAGUUCAUAAUUUAUAUCCCCUUUAUAGGCACAAGUUAAGAGAAGCAGAAGAAGGCUGUUUUACUAUUUUGUUGAAAACAUUUUUAGUACUGAUGUCUAGUCUCAUUUUGACCUGAAUGUGGGAAAUGUACAAUUCAUUCUGAAUUUCAUGCAUUUUUUUUUUUAUUUCUUCUUAGCAGAUUCUUUGGAAUAAAUAUUGUAAGGAGCAGAGGUCCAGGUUCCAGGCUCCACCCACUCCCUCAGGAGAGCAUUGGGAUCAGGUGUGGGGAAAGACACACCUGGAGCUCAUCUCCUCAUCAGGGAGAUGAAGAAAUGUGAAGCAGGCAAGCUGUUCAGGGGAGAACAUGCUGCAGGAGGAGUAGGGUCGCCCCUCCCUAAGAUCGCCAGCGGGGGAGAGAACUAAGACCGGAUGCCUUCCACCAGCUCCUUGGCCAUGGCUGUGGUCACCGUGGUAACAUCAAAUCCCCGCAAGUAUCGAACUCCUAGGUGGAUGAGCAGGGAGGUGGGUGGGGCAGGGCUGAAACCCGGAUGGAGAUAAGACAGAGACAGAUGCUUUUCUAGCUCGUCGCUGCCAAUCACGUCGCGGAUCACAGCGUCCUGACAGAUGGCCACUUGGGAAGGCAGCUUGUACACAACCUUACCAUCUGGUAGAGAAAGCAUGGAGAGGAACAUUUACAGGGUUAGAUUCAAUGCUCUGUAUUGCUGGUAUACCAAAGCUGAGCUCACAGCACCGGUAGACUAGAAAGAUUUUUGUUUAUUUUGUUUUCGUUUGUGAUUUUAAAAUUUCAAAACCUGCAUGUGUGAGUAAUACCUGAGCUGAGUGUAGGCAGGAACGCCUUGCCCUUGAGCAUCUGAAUAAUCUGCCCGGCAACAGGCUUGAAGAAGUCCAACACCUCGUCAGGCAGGGGGACAAAUGGCAGAAACUUGCAGAGGCCCUUCAGCCCCUUGAACUCUGGGUGAUCCUGGAAUAAGGAGAGAACAGGACACUGGUCUAAAGACAGACAAUAGCCAAGGACUAAUCAGUGAUAUUAGUGUUAUCACUGUAGUAUGUUUUAGACAUAUUAGACUUCCCCAUAUUCUCAAAUAGUGGCCAAAAACGUCCAAGCAAUCCUGAUGUUUAUUUAUUUUUGUGUAAUAAACUGUUAAUAGAUAUUA